UUACCCUGAUUGGAUUGAAAACUUCCAUAAAACUGGUUUGGGAUAACACGUGCCUUAACAACAGUCGAACACAUGUUGGCAUUUCGAUUUAUGCGCUAUAUAUAACCACAGAAUUCUAGCGCAGCUCUUGUCAACGCCCCACUGGCUGAGUUCGAACCUUGUGGUUGCGACGUGCUCAAAAAAAUAUAUUAAAAUAACACAAAGAAGCGCUUGGUUGGCAGACAUGCAAAAUGCAUAGAAAAUGUUGCAGAACAAAAAAUGUGGGUAGCUCAAAUGAUUAAAGCCCGCUGACAUGCUGCAAGCCAAUCAAGGCCAAUUUGUCGACACGCAACGACGAAAUUGGGUUGUCUGCAACGGACCACAAUCUUGGCCACGUUUCGCAAAUGGCAGGCGAUGUUAGAGCCAUUAGCUAAUUAAGUGCCCAAUGUUUCUGGGCACCCACUCACAAGGAAACUAGUGGAAAAACCGCAGACAAUAGCAAGCAAAGAAAAAUAAAAGUUGAAGAAUAAACUACAUUAAGGAUGCAAAGCAUUUUACAGAUUACACUUAACACUUGCCAAGCACAAAAUAAAAGUGAAAAAAAAUUGUA